rnacentral:rRNA from 1 species
CGUAAAGCGCGCGUAGGCGGAUAAUUAAGUCAGAUGUGAAAUCCCUGGGCUCAACCUAGGAACUGCAUUUGAUACUGGUUAUCUAGAGUAUGGUAGAGGUGAGUGGAAUUUCAGGUGUAGCGGUGAAAUGCGUAGAGAUCUGAAGGAACAUCAGUGGCGAAGGCGACUCACUGGGCCAUUACUGACGCUGAGGUGCGAAAGCGUGGGUAGCAAACAGGAUUAGAUACCCUGGUAGUCCACGCCCUAAACGAUGUCAACUAGGUGUGUGAGAGUCUAACUCUUGCGUAUCGAAGCUAACGCGAUAAGUUGACCGCCUGGGGAGUACGGUCGCAAGACUAAAACUCAAAUGAAUUGACGGGGGCCCGCACAAGCGGUGGAGCAUGUGGUUUAAUUCGAUGCAACGCGAAGAACCUUACCUGGCCUUGACAUGUAGUGAACUUACCAGAGAUGGUUUGGUGCCUUCGGGAGCACUAACACAGGUGCUGCAUGGCUGUCGU